rnacentral:rRNA from 1 species
CCUACGGGAGGCAGCAGUAGGGAAUAUUGGUCAAUGGACGGAAGUCUGAACCAGCCAUGCCGCGUGCAGGAAGACGGCCCUACGGGUUGUAAACUGCUUUUGUACGGGAAUAAACCUACCAACGUGUUGGUAGCUGAAUGUACCGUAAGAAUAAGGAUCGGCUAACUUCGUGCCAGCAGCCGCGGUAAU